AAAACACAGCACUCUGCAAACACGAAAGUGGACGUAUAGGGUGUGACGCCUGCCCGGUGCCGGAAGGUUAAUUGAUGGGGUUAGCGCAAGCGAAGCUCUUGAUCGAAGCCCCGGUAAACGGCGGCCGUAACUAUAACGGUCCUAAGGUAGCGAAAUUCCUUGUCGGGUAAGUUCCGACCUGCACGAAUGGCGUAACGAUGGCGGCGCUGUCUCCACCCGAGACUCAGUGAAAUUGAAAUCGCUGUGAAGAUGCAGUGUAUCCGCGGCUAGACGGAAAGACCCCGUGAACCUUUACUAUAGCUUUGCACUGGACUUUGAAUUUGCUUGUGUAGGAUAGGUGGGAGGCUUUGAAGUGGGGACGCCAGUUCUCAUGGAGCCAUCCUUGAAAUACCACCCUGGCAACUUUGAGGUUCUAACUCAGGUCCGUUAUCCGGAUCGAGGACAGUGUAUGGUGGGUAGUUUGACUGGGGCGGUCUCCUCCCAAAGAGUAACGGAGGAGUACGAAGGUGCGCUCAGACCGGUCGGAAAUCGGUCGUAGAGUAUAAAGGCAAAAGCGCGCUUGACUGCGAGACAAACACGUCGAGCAGGUACGAAAGUAGGUCUUAGUGAUCCGGUGGUUCUGUAUGGAAGGGCCAUCGCUCAACGGAUAAAAGGUACUCCGGGGAUAACAGGCUGAUACCGCCCAAGAGUUCAUAUCGACGGCGGUGUUUGGCACCUCGAUGUCGGCUCAUCACAUCCUGGGGCUGAAGCCGGUCCCAAGGGUAUGGCUGUUCGCCAUUUAAAGUGGUACGCGAGCUGGGUUUAGAACGUCGUGAGACAGUUCGGUCCCUAUCUGCCGUGGACGUUUGAGAUUUGAGAGGGGCUGCUCCUAGUACGAGAGGACCGGAGUGGACGAACCUCUGGUGUUCCGGUUGUCACGCCAGUGGCAUUGCCGGGUAGCUAUGUUCGGAAGAGAUAACCGCUGAAAGCAUCUAAGCGGGAAACUUGCCUCAAGAUGAGAUCUCACUGGGAUCUUGAAUCCCCUAAAGGGCCGUCGAAGACUACGACGUUGAUAGGUUGGGUGUGUAAGCGCUGUGAGGCGUUGAGCUAACCAAUA
rnacentral:rRNA from 1 species